UGCUUCAGCUUCAAACUCCUUUUUGUGGGCACGUUUCCAGUCCCUCUCCCAUCUUCAGCCACCUCUUCGUCCCUGCUUCUCAUCUUCCUCAAUACGCCACAUUUUGUUCUUGAGUGGCAAGAUCCUCAUCUCCUUCGCUGACACGGUGCUUCUCAAAGAAGCCAAGGAGGAAUUAUAAAUACAGCGAAGAUGAAUGGAUAGAGAGAGAGAGAGAGAAGGAAACCGAGGGAACCCGAGGAGCAAGUCGAAGGGAAAGAAGAAGAGGAAGGAGGGAGGAUUUUCCACAUGCAAUCUGAUCUUUGAACCAUGGUUUUAAUUGGUGGCUCGGUUUACUAAGAAGAAACUCAAACCAAGGUACCCGGCAAGAAAGGGCCCAAUUCAUCCAAGAGGAAAGAGGAGUUGGUGGAAGCAUAGCUAAGGUUGAAGGAGAGAAGAACUUAGUGCUUAGUUAAUUGAUUAAUCUUGAAUACAUUCGAUGUAAUGUUUCCUCUUUUCUUUGUGAUAUGUGAUGUUUAUACUUCCUUUUGAGAAGUUACGUAGAUUUCACUUAUAGGGUUUCCUACAUAAAGAUGAGUGAUAGGGGGUAGUUUAGCAUAGAUGGGGAGUUAGUGUGUAUGUAUUUAUGUAUAUAUUGAUAAUAUAUCUGGGGCAUGAAAGAAUUAGAAUUUACAAAGCAUGAUUUAUUAGAGU